AGAGUUUGAUUAUGGCUCAGGAUGAACGCUAGCUACAGGCUUAACACAUGCAAGUCGAGGGGCAGCAUUGGGAUAGCUUGCUAUUCCAGAUGGCGACCGGCGCACGGGUGAGUAACGCGUGGAUAACCUGCCUCACACUGGGGGAUAGCAGCUGGAAACGGCUGGUAAUACCGCAUAAGACCACAGCACCGCAUGGUGCAGGGGUAAAAGAUUUAUCGGUGUGAGAUGGAUCCGCGUCUGAUUAGCCAGUUGGCGGGGUAACGGCCCACCAAAGCGACGAUCAGUAGCCGGCCUGAGAGGGUGAACGGCCACAUUGGGACUGAGACACGGCCCAAACUCC
rnacentral:rRNA from 1 species